rnacentral:rRNA from 1 species
GAUGAACGCUGGCGGCGUGCCUAAUACAUGCAAGUCGAGCGAACGGACGAGAAGCUUGCUUCUCUGAUGUUAGCGGCGGACGGGUGCGUAACACGUGGAUAACCUACCUAUAAGACUGGGAUAACUUCGGGAAACCGUAGCUAAUACCGGAUAAUAUUUUGAACCGCAUGGUUCAAAAGUGAAAGACGGUCUUGCUGUCACUUAUAGAUGGAUCCGCGCUGCAUUAGCUAGUUGGUAAGGUAACGGCUUACCAAGGCAACGAUGCAUAGCCGACCUGAGAGGGUGAUCGGCCACACUGGAACUGAGACACGGUCCAGACUCCUACGGGGGGCAGCAGUAGGGAAUCUUCCGCAAUGGGCGAAAGCCUGACGGAGCAACGCCGCGUGAGUGAUGAAGGUCUUCGGAUCGUAAAACUCUGUUAUUAGGGAAGAACAUAUGUGUAAGUAACUGUGCACAUCUUGACGGUACCUAAUCAGAAAGCCACGGCUAACUACGUG